rnacentral:rRNA from 1 species
AUUGAACGCUGGCGGCAUGCCUAACACAUGCAAGUCGAGCGAGCGGCGGACGGGUGAGUAAUGCAUGGGGAUCUGCCUGAUGGAGGGGGAUCACUACUGGAAAAGGUAUCUAAUACCGCCUACCCUCAGAUUAACCCAUAUGGGAUUAGCUUGUAGGUGGGGUAACGGCUCACCUAGGCGACGAUCCCUAGCUGGUCUGAGAGGAUGAUCAGCCACACGGGGAUUGGGACACGGCCCAGACUCCUACGGGAGGAAGCAGUGGGGAAUAUUGCACAAGGGGCGCAAGCCUGAUGCAGCCAGGCGGCGUGUAUGAAGAAGGCCUUCGGGUUGUAAAGUACGUUCAGUCGGGAGGCGUUACCGACAGAAGAAGCACCGGCUAACUCCGUGCCAGCAGCCGCGGUAAUAC